UAUUAAUUUGAUUUAUAUGUAAAUUUUUGUGUGAAUUUUUAUUUAUUUUAAAAAUAAAUAAAAUAUAUUUUAUUCGCAGUAAUUAAUAUUAUUAAUUAAAGAAAUUUAGAAAUAGCAAUAUUAAAAAGUAUUGACAAAAUUGGUGCCAGCAGUCGCGGUUAUACCAAUAAUACAAAUAAAUUUUUUUAGUAAAAGUUAAAUGAUUAUAUAAUAUAUAUUAAAUAAAAUUAAAUUUAUUAGGUGAAAUUUUAAAUUUAAAUUAUUUAUUUAUAAAAUAAUUGAAACUAAAAAAUUUUAAUAAA
rnacentral:rRNA from 1 species